AGGUGCUCGAGAGAGCGUAACAGGGAAACCCGGUGAGAAUCCGGUGCGGUCCCGCCACUGUAAACGGCUAGCUACUGUCCGAAAUCCAGAGUCACUCAGCACAAACUGGGGAAGGCUGGAGAGUAGUGAGGGCGACUAAAUUUUGUCGCUAGCAGCCGUAAGUCAGGAGACCUACCUAAUA
rnacentral:ncRNA from 1 species